rnacentral:rRNA from 1 species
UGAGGANNNUUGGUCAAUGGGCGCGAGCCUGAACCAGCCAAGUAGCGUGCAGGAUGACGGCCCUAUGGGUUGUAAACUGCUUUUGUAUGGGGAUAAAGUCAAUCACGUGUGAUUGUUUGCAGGUACCAUACGAAUAAGGACCGGCUAAUUCCGUGCCAGCAGCCGCGGUAAUACGGAAGGUCCGGGCGUUAUCCGGAUUUAUUGGGUUUAAAGGGAGCGUAGGCCGGAGAUUAAGUGUGUUGUGAAAUGUAGACGCUCAACGUCUGACUUGCAGCGCAUACUGGUUUCCUUGAGUACGCACAACGUUGGCGGAAUUCGUCGUGUAGCGGUGAAAUGCUUAGAUAUGACGAAGAACUCCGAUUGCGAAGGCAGCUGACGGGAGCGCAACUGACGCUUAAGCUCGAAGGUGCGGGUAUCGAACAGGAUUAGAUACCCUGGUAGUCCGCACAGUAAACGAUGGAUGCCCGCUGUUGGUACCUGGUAUCAGCGGCUAAGCGAAAGCAUUAAGCAUCCCACCUGGGGAGUACGCCNGCNACGGU